rnacentral:miRNA from 1 species
UCUGAAAAGGGUCAUCGGCAGA